GUGAGUCAUCGAAUCUUUGAACGCACAUUGCGCCCCUUGGCAUUCCGAGGGGCAUGCCCGUUCGAGCGUCAUUAUAACCCCUCAAGCCUAGCUUGGUGUUGGGGCCUGCUGUUACCGGCAGCCCUUAAAAUCAGUGGCGGUGCUAUCUGGCUCUAAGCGUAGUAAUACUUCUCGCUACAGGGUCCUGGUGGAUGCUUGCCAUCAACCCCUAAUUUUCUAUGGUUGACCUCGGAUCGGGUAGGGAUACCCGCUGAACUUAAGCAUAUCAAUAAGCGGAGGA
rnacentral:misc_RNA from 1 species